rnacentral:rRNA from 1 species
UACGUAGGGGGCUAGCGUUGUUCGGAAUCAUUGGGCGUAAAGAGCGUGUAGGCGGCCCGGUAAGUCCGCUGUGAAAGUCCAGGGCUCAACCCUGGGAUGCCGGUGGAUACUGUCGGGCUCGAGUCCGGAAGAGGCGAGUGGAAUUCCUGGUGUAGCGGUGAAAUGCGCAGAUAUCAGGAAGAACACCCGUGGCGAAGGCGGCUCUCUGGGACGUGACUGACGCUGAGACGCGAAAGCGUGGGGAGCGAACAGG